rnacentral:rRNA from 1 species
ACGAACGCUGGCGGCGUGCCUCAUCCCUGCCAGUAGCACGCUGAAGAGAGGAGCUUGCUCUUCUUGGAUGAGUUGCGACCGGGUGAGUAACGCGUAGGUAACCUGCCUGGUAGCGGGGGAUAACUAUUGGAAACGAUAGCUAAUACCGCAUAAAAUUGAUUAUUGCCUGAUAAUUAAUUGAAAGAUGCAACUGCAUCACUACCAGAUGGACCUGCGUUGUAUUAGCUAGUUGGUGAGGUAACGGCUCACCAAGGCGGCGAUACAUAGCCGACCUGAGAGGGUGAUCGACCACACUGGGACUGAGACACGGCCCAGGCUCCUACGGGAGGCAGCAGUAGGGAAUCAUCGGAAAUGGGGGGAACCCUGACCGAACAACGCCGGGGGAGAGAAGGAGGGUGUCGAAUCGGAAAGCUCUGUUGUGAGAGAAGAACGGGAGUGAGAGUGGAAAGUUCACACUGUGACGUUAGCUGAAGAGAAAGGGACGGCUAACUACGUG